GAUGAACGCUAGCUACAGGCUUAACACAUGCAAGUCGAGGGGCAUCAGGAUGUAGCAAUACAUUGCUGGCGACCGGCGCACGGGUGAGUUACACGUAUCCAACCUGCCUUUUACUCGGGGAUAGGCUUUCGAAAGAAAGAUUAAUACCCGAUGGCAUAAUAUUUCCGCAUGGGAUUAUUAUUAAAGAAUUUCGGUAAAAGAUGGGGAUGCGUUCCAUUAGGCAGUUGGCGGGGUAACGGCCCACCAAACCUUCGAUGGAUAGGGGUUCUGAGAGGAAGGUCCCCCACAUUGGAACUGAGACACGGUCCAAACUCCUACGGGAGGCAACAGUGAGGAAUAUUGGUCAAUGGGCGAGAGCCUGAACCAGCCAAGUAGCGUGAAGGAUGACUGCCCUAUGGGUUGUAAACUUCUUUUAUAGGGGAAUAAAGUGAGCCACGUGUGGCUUUUUGUAUGUACCCUAUGAAUAAGGAUCGGCUAACUCCGUGCCUGCAGCCGCGGUAAUACGGAGGAUCCGAGCGUUAUCCGGAUUUAUUGGGUUUAAAGGGAGCGUAGGUGGACAUGUAAGUCAGUUGUGAAAGUUUGCGGCUCAACCGUAAAAUUGCAGUUGAUACUGUGUGUCUUGAGUACAGUAGAGGUGGGCGGAAGUCGUGGUGUAGCGGUGAAAUGCUUAGAUAUCACGAAGAACUCCGAUUGCGAAGGCAGCUCACUGGACUGUUACUGACACUGAGGCUCGAAAGUGUGGGUAUCAAACAGG
rnacentral:rRNA from 1 species